CCCCUAGAUGUUCUGGGCCGCACGCGCGCUACACUGAACAGUUCAACAAGUCUUAACCUUGGCCGAUAGGUCUGGGUAAUCUUUGAACGCUGUUCGUGAUUGGGAUAGACCUUUGCAAUUAUGGGUCUUCAACGAGGAAUUCCUAGUAAACGCAAGUCAUCAGCUUGCAUUGAUUACGUCCCUGCCCUUUGUACACACCGCCCGUCGCACCUACCGAUUGAAUGGUCCGGUGAAAUGUUCGGACCGCGACAAGGCGGACGGUUCGCUGUCAGCUUUGCUGCGGGAAGUUCAUUAAACCUUAUCAUUUAGAGGAAGGAGAAGUCGUANCA
rnacentral:rRNA from 1 species